rnacentral:tRNA from 1 species
UCCCCUGUGGUCCAGUGGUUGGGACUCUGUGCUUUCACUACAGGGGGUACAGGUUCUAUCCCUGGUCUGGGAA